rnacentral:rRNA from 1 species
UCCAGACUCCUACGGGAGGCAGCAGUGGGGGAUAUUGCACAAUGGGGGGAACCCUGAUGCAGCGACGCCGCGUGGGUGAAGAAGCGCCUCGGCGCGUAAAGCCCUGUCAGCAGGGAAGAAAAUGACGGUACCUGACUAAGAAGCCCCGGCUAACUACGUGCCAGCAGCCGCGGUAAUACGUAGGGGGCAAGCGUUAUCCGGAUUUACUGGGUGUAAAGGGAGCGUAGGCGGCAGUGCAAGUCAGAAGUGAAAGCCCGGGGCUCAACUCCGGGACUGCUUUUGAAACUGUACAGCUUGAUUGCAGGAGAGGCAAGUGGAAUUCCUAGUGUAGCGGUGAAAUGCGUAGAUAUUAGGAGGAACACCAGUGGCGAAGGCGGCUUGCUGGACUGUAAAUGACGCUGAGGCUCGAAAGCGUGGGGAGCAAACAGGAUUAGAUACCCUCGUA